rnacentral:lncRNA from 1 species
GUCGAUUCUAAACGAAGUCAAAUCCUCGGAUUUCGAGAAUUCACUUCCUUACAACCGGUACUGCAUUACGCGGGUAUCGUUACCCUAUAUUAAACCUAGCUGAGCAGAGCCCGAGUUUUUGUUGUUUAUUUGGCGGGUACCGAUACCUCAACUGUGUACCGGUACUUAAAGCGGUAGAAUGAGUUGGUAAGGGGUUUUUUUUGGUAAUUUUGCAGUUG